UUGAACGCUGGCGAAAUGCUUUACACAUGCAAGUCGAGCGGCAGCGCGGGGGCAACCCUGGCGGCGAGCGGCGAACGGGUGAGUAACAUAUCGGAACGUACCCUAUCGUGGGGGAUAACACAUCGAAAGAUGUGCUAAUACCGCAUACGACCUGCGGGUGAAAGCAGGGGAUCGCAAGACCUUGCGCGACAGGAGCGGCCGAUAUCGGAUUAGCUAGUUGGUGAGAUAAAGGCUCACCAAGGCGACGAUCCGUAGCUGGUCUGAGAGGACGACCAGCCACACUGGAACUGAGACACGGUCCAGACUCCGACGGGAGGCAGCAGUGGGGAAUUUUGGACAAUGGGGGCAACCCUGAUCCAGCCAUUCCGCGUGAGUGAAGAAGGCCUUCGGGUUGUAAAACUCUUUCGGCAGGAACGAAACGGUGAGCUCUAACAUAGCUUGCUAAUGACGGUACCUGAAGAAGAAGCACCGGCUAACUACGU
rnacentral:rRNA from 1 species